rnacentral:lncRNA from 1 species
UAGUGGAGCUGGCCGCUCCCCACCUCCGAGGCUGCGAGGAGCAGAAGAGAAAGCAGCAGGCACUGGGCUCCAGGAUCUUCUCGCCAGGAGAACAACAUUGCAAAGAGGAUGAAGCAAAGCAGUAUCUGAAUACGUAAUGCACGCUGUUAUUUCUUUUGUGGAGAAAGACCUUGUGGUGGACAGCGACAUCAUGUGGCUAAACGUGUAAGUAUUAAAUAUGUAAACGUAUCUUCUUUUCCUUGUAUGUCGUUUGAACUUUCCCAAAAUUUCUAGUUUCAAUUGUAAUAUCCUUCGGUCACUCCUCAAAGUCCUUAUAUUUUAUCUAAAUAUUUCCUUAGAACUUUUAUACUAAUUCACUAUCAAUUGUGCUAAUUCAUGACAUACACUAAAAUAUUGUGAUUCCUGUUUUAACAGUGGACAUCUAUUGGAAAUAUUUCCCAUGUGACAGCCACUUUUCUAUUUGUCUUAAUGGAAUUAUCCCGUUAAAUUAUCACAAUCCUCUGAAAUAAGUUUUAAUAUUAUUCGCUUUUUAUAAACACAUAGAGGUUAAGUAAAACGAUAUUAUCUCUUGGUACGAUGGGAUUUCAAUCUGAUUCAAGACAACUUACCAUUAACCUCUUUACCACCCAAGUUACAUUUUAUAGAAAAAUCAGAUCCUUUCAGAUUUAUGAUCAUCAAAACAUUGAGAUGUUGAAGUAUUUAAAAGUGUGUGUGUGCUGUAUAUAUUAAAACAUACAUAUAUCUACUUUUAUGUUAUUACAGCAACUGUUAAUUUCUUAAAAUAUGUACAUUUAUGGUUUUUUAAAUUUGUAGAAUGUCUGUAAUUCCCUCCCAUGCCCCUUUUUCAAGAACUAUAGCCUCAUCAACUGUCUUGACUGUAACUUACAUAAAGAUUUCAGAAGUCGGUCCUUUACAGAGAAAUUCAAACAGGAAAUUUGUUUCCUAUUGUGGGAAUGUGAUUUGUAUAUUUGUUACACUCACAUCACAUCAAUUAAGAAUAUAUUAGGUUUAAUUUUUCCACACUCUUUAUGUAUUUGAAUUUACCUGUAUAUACUAAAAUGUUAACAAUAUAAAGUAAUUACGUUUUUGAUGAUCUCCACUCCUGAUGAAUUUCUAGAUUCCAGUUUUUUUAAAAGUUGUUACUUGAAAGAAUUGAUUAUUUAACUAAACAGUGAAGGGAGAAAAGUAACCUAGGAACAUAAGCCAGUAUUUACUCAACAUAUUUAACACUAAGCAAUAAAACAUUCUAAAGAUAUCUGUGAAUUCAAUGAGAAGCAUGAAUUCUCGCCGCAUUUGGAAGUGGGGCAAAGAAAAUUUAUGGAAAGAGGUCAAAUUUAGAGAAAUAAAAUAAUGUACAAAUUUUUGCUUAUACCCAGACCAUUUAAAAAUGAAAUCAAACAUGUGAUUUAAAUAUUUAGGGGAAAAGUUUUCAUUUCAGCUUUUGUUUCCUGUGUAUUCAUGAAAUGGAAGCCAGGACUGCAACUUACUCAGAUUUUAUCAUUCAUAUUUAGAAUAGGAUAAAUUAUCAAUUGUUGUUUUCAUGAAUAAAUAAAUUAAUAUUUUGAAUUAACUUUUUCAAGCAAGAUAAAUAAAAAUGUAAGUUAAUGAUAUUUGUUAAUAUCAAACUUACAUAAUUUCUAAAUGAUUAUAUUGUGCUAUAUUAUGAAGAAGUAAGUAAACAUUUAAGCAUUAUUUCUGAAAAGCAUGGACCUAAGAAAUAAUUAUAGCUAUUAAUAUUCCAGUUACCACUUUGCUGAAUUUUUAAAGAUGGUAGCUAGUUUGAAAAUAAGAGAUAAAUUUAAAAUUUUUAAACUUCAUGGACUUCAUAGUAAUGAGAUGCCUUUGACAACUUAUUGUAAUACUGCACUUUUCAGUACCUUUAAGAGUUAUACUAAUUGCAAAAUGGAAUGUCACAUGAGAAUUUAUAGCAGAGUAGACUCCAUACUGAUUAUUAAGAGAUAAAGGUAAUAUUAAAGGAACUAUGAGUUUAGAAGAUUGAGCCAUUUUGUAGAUAAAGUAUCAGUGAAUAAUUUCUACUACCACCUAGAUGUCACUUAGACAACCAAGAAAAAAUGUAAAUAAGAAUGUUUUGAAAAAACUUAUAGAGCAACAGAUUGUGACUCCUGGAGAUUUGGAUAUAUGUGAAUAUAAUUUUAGAAGCUUAUCAUUUACCUAUGGUAGAAACAUAGUGGUCAAGUAUUACUUGGAAAUGGAUAUUCUGACCUAACUAUGAAAUGGCUAAAGGUAAGAUCACUAGUGGAAGUUAUUUCUAUGAUUUAUCAAUAUGCACAUAUAUUUAGAAUAAACAGCAAAUAACUAAGAACUAAAUAGUAGAGGACCGUUUAAGACAGUUAUUUUAUUGCAAUACAUCUGCCUUUGGUUGGAAAAGCUAAAAAAGUUCUUUCCAAGUGUAACAUUUACUUGUCGAGUUCAGUGUUAUAAUUACCCAAAAUAAAUGUUUCAAGUGAAAAUGUAGUCAUCCAAGACCAGGCCUCAUCUUUUGGAAAAAUUCCAAUUUCAUUAGGAAUAUGGAUGCUUCCAGGUAAAAUUGAGUGAGCUCACAUUAAUGGAAAAUGUAUUCCCACGCAUAGAAUUAGAUGCCAGAAAAAAGUAGUCAAUCUCUGCAGUGGGAGGCCUGCACACAUUGGCCUAAUGAUAAUGAUACUGAAAGGAUGAUUUAUCAACCAUUAACAUAAAGACUGGGUAGUCUCCACUUAAAUGAAGAAAAAGUCCCACCACCUGAAAAACCCCAGUGUGAUUUUUAAAUGUUAAUAUUUUCAAAUUAAACAAAAUUGAGAGGGUCUCUUUUCUCAAUACUCUCUAUUUUUGCCUGAUAACUCAAAAAUGUUAUCAGUGUGAAAUCUUUAUACCAAAUAAUGGGUUAUUUUACUUAUAAAAAACAUACUUAAGAUUAGCAGUUAUUCCUAAGUGCUGUCAUUUUGUUGUAACAACCUGUGCUACAUACUUUUGGAAAUUCUGGUGUUAAAAUAUCCACUCAGGCUGCUUUCAAAUACAAAUAAAAAGACCAGGUGCAGUGGCUCACUCCUGUAAUCCCAGCACUUUGGGAGGCCUAGGAGGGUGGAUCACUUGAGGCCAGGAGUUUGAGACCAGCCUGGCCAACAUUUAGUUGAGACCAACCCCGUCUCUACUAAAAAUAAAAAAUUUAAAAAAGAAAAUAGCCGGGCGUGGUGGUGGGCGCCUGUAAUCCCAGUUACUAAGGAGGCUGAGGCAAGACAAUCACUUGAACCCGGGUGGCAGAGGUUAUAGUGAGCUGAGAUCACACCACUGCACUCCAGCCUAGGUGACAGAGCAAGACUGUCUCAACAAAAACAAACAAACAAAAAAAAAAUGUAGCUUAUUAACUAUUGCAUAGACAAGGGCAUUGUUGAUCCAAAGAACAAUCUAAGAAAUGUCCAGGAUAUAGGUUAUUCCAAACACUAUCCGACAGAUUGGAUAGACAGUGUCAGUUGAAAAUACGUAUUAUAUAAUCAAAUUCUUUAAUUUCUUCCGAUUGUGAUUUUCAAUUUUUAAGAGAGAAAAUAUUUAUGGGAAAUGUUUAAUUUACAAAUUUUGCUGAGGUGUUUUUCAGUGUUUCAUGGUCUAUUACUUAUGACUUAAUGAUGGAAGUGCCAAAAUGUAAAAAUAAGAAAACAGUUAUGUAGAUUGUUUAAAUAAAUUGUUCAGUAAAUGCAAUAAAUUGAUCUCUAAUUCAUAUUCAAAAUCGCACGGUA